AUUGAACGCUGGCGGCAUGCUUUACACAUGCAAGUCGAACGGUAACAGGCCGCAAGGUGCUGACGAGUGGCGAACGGGUGAGUAAUGCAUCGGAACGUGCCCAGUCGCGGGGGAUAACUGCUCGAAAGAGCUGCUAAUACCGCAUACGAUCUAUGGAUGAAAGCGGGGGACCGUAAGGCCUCGCGCGAUUGGAGCGGCCGAUGUCAGAUUAGGUAGUUGGUGGGGUAAAGGCUCACCAAGCCAACGAUCUGUAGCUGGUCUGAGAGGACGACCAGCCACACUGGGACUGAGACACGGCCCAGACUCCUACGGGAGGCAGCAGUGGGGAAUUUUGGACAAUGGGGGCAACCCUGAUCCAGCAAUGCCGCGUGCAGGAAGAAGGCCUUCGGGUUGUAAACUGCUUUUGUACGGAACGAAACGGUCUGGGUUAAUACCCUGGGCUAAUGACGGUACCGUAAGAAUAAGCACCGGCUAACUACGUGCCAGCAGCCGCGGUAACAC
rnacentral:rRNA from 1 species